rnacentral:lncRNA from 1 species
GCUUGGUGCGGUUGUUCCCCUGGUGGUGAUGACGUGUCUGAAUCUCCACUAUUCCGGGGAGGGCUUAUAGACCGAGGCGGUGAAGGUGAGCCACCGUCACUGGACCUUCUGUUUCCAGACGGUGGAGACGGUGUGGAACCUUCUCUGUUGUUACUGUUGAUUCUGUUACGGUCAUCAUUUUCAGAAGUUCCAGACGGUGUGGAACCUUCUCUGUUGUUACUGUUGAUUCUGUUACGGUCAUCAUUUGCAACAGGAGAAGGAGGAGAUGGUCUUUGUGGAGGAGGUGAUUGCUUGGACGGUGCUUGAGGAGGUGCAGGUGGCGUUACAGGAGAUGAGAUUUGAGGAGAAGGUGGAGAAGGAUUCUCUUGAGGUUUAGCUGGUGGAUUAGGUACAGCUGGAGGAGAUGUUGGCAAUGAUGGAGGAGGGGAGGUUUCCUGCGUCGGUGGUGCAGGCGGCGGUGAAGAAGCUGUUGGCGUUGGAGGAGGAGCAGAAUCAGGAGACGGUGGAGAUGAAGCAGGUGAUGUUAACGGCGAUGUGCCAUUUGACAGAGAACCUGCAUUAGGGGUUUCCGGGGCAGGAGGUGAAUUCUCCGGAGAGUCUGCCAUGAUGAAGUCUUUGUUCUUUGGUGAAAGGUUUCUCAACGGUGGAGAAACCUUCUCCCCGGUGAUCCUUGACUCAUCAGCCUUGCGUUACAAGCAAAAACAAUCGAAACUUAGAACUUGGAGAUAUUCAGAAGACUUGGUGAAGAGAAGAGAGAAGAUUGUUGGAAAGAGAGGAAUCCUGAUGGUUUCUCUUUUUGGGUUUGGAGAAAUGGCUUCGAAGGAGGAGAAGAGAUUAAGGAACUAUAAUUAGAAGCAAAGGCUCUCUAUCUUUCUCUCUACCAUCUAUGAUCUAUAUUUGUUCUUUCUAGCCGUUUGAAGUUUGAUGAAACGAACCGGUCUAGAAGGCCAACCAGUUUGAGAUUAGAGAUGAUUUGAAUACUAAUUAACCGAAUAGACAAAAUUUAAUCAAAACCGAACCAGAAAGUACGGUUAGCUCAUUGGCGGGAGUUUGCAAACAGUAGACGAGAGAGACCGUGUUUAACCAAGAGAGGCUCCAACUUGGUUACACUAAGUAUCUUAUUAUCAGAAAGUCUUUACCAACCAUGAUCCAUAAAACAUUCCCACCUUCUGCGGAUUCAUAAUCAUACAUCUCUGCUCAACGUUACAACUCUUUAAAGUUCAAAGAACCCAUAAAUAAAGUACAUUCACAUAUCUCCAAUACCAGUUACAUUUAGCAUUAAUCGAUGGGUCUAAAACCCCUAACGAACUUUGUCUUCUACAUAAAUCUCCAGAAAAUAAACCAAGCUCCGCGAAAGGUGGGAUGAUGUACCUGGGCUUUACUAAUAGAACAUCAAGAGCUACCACUCAAUCUGAACAUUAUGAUGUAGCACCACUAAACCGAAGAAACAUUGUCUGAACCUUGAGGUGGACCUGAGCUUCCGCUCAUUGCUGUUGCAGCUACAUGUGAGCCAGGAACAGAGAAUGGUGAUGCACCUGGAGGCCUUGGCAUUGGUGGCCGUGGAAAUGACAUACCCAUGGGAGGUCUUUGAGCCACAUUAGCAAGAUUUGCAGCGGUUCUGUUUGUUGGUAAUGAUGCCUUUGAGGACAUUGAAGAUGGGGCACCGAGUCUAGCUGCUAUGAUCUGCGCUCUUUCAUGGUAUAGCCUUUGCCUUGACCUCUCCAAUUGCUCUUUUACCCUUACUGUCAAGCUUUCAGCGUCGUUGAAUAUAGAUAGUUUUGCUUCUAGUUUACGCAACUGCUUAGACGUUUAAAAAAAACCUCGUUAUUAUGUUUAAACACUCAACAACAAUACAGCACCAAAACAGAAUCAAAGCUGCAUACACUUGAACCAUUUUUGUACCUGCUUCUCUAUCAAUGAUCCAGAAAGUUGUCGGAUAUGAUCUUCUUCUUGCUUUGCAAGAUGCUUUGCCUUUACUGUUGCAGCUGAGAGAGCAGAGAUAGCUGCGCGCUUAAGCUUAUCAGUGUUAUGUUUGUCUUUUGUCUCUUCAGAGACACCCUUCUCUUUCUUUGUAUUUUCACCUGCAAACAAUGUUUAAACAACAAACCAAUAAGAUAUAAAAGAAUCAUGCAAUGCAGGUCCAGUUUCAAAUCUGUCCAAGAGAUAGAGACAACCAUCUGUUCCAUUUUCCGGUACAGAAGCUGAUGCAACGGCCUGCUGUGCAACCGACGUGUCUGGCAUACUAAGAACAUCCUUUGCACUCUCCUUAGCUUGUUCAAUCUCCUCUCCUACUGUUUUGACCAUAUCUUGAGGAUCCUUCUGUGACUGUGACAUAUCCUUCAUCUCCACAUCUUUUGAUGCUUCCGGCUGAGAAGCAUCUGGAGCUAACUGGGAGACAGUUGCUUGAGAGGCGUCUUUAUUUUCACUAGAAAGCUUAUUCCCAUCCUUCAAAGGUUCUUGGAGCUCUUUCCCUGAACAUUUAUCCUGCGAUGUACAAAUUAUAUCCGCUGGUUCCUCUGAUUUUUCAGUUGCCACUGAAUUAGUAGAUUUUUUUAGUCCUUUAGCAUCUGGUUUCCUAGCAGAUUUUUUAGUUCUGGAACCAGGUUGCUUUUCUUCAGAGACUGAAUCCUGAUUUUCUUUGCCUGAAUCAGCUUCUGUCAUUUCCCUGUCAUUUGCAUUCAAGGAGACACCUUCUGCUUUCUGGCUUUUUCCUUCUGGCUGUUCAUCUUUAUGGGCACUAUCACCGUUCCCCACUGCAUCCACACUGCAAAUGUCUUGCUUGUUUUAGAUUUACGAUAUAAUAACCAAUAUCUUCAAAAUACUGAGAUAUUCAAAUAAACGUUAAACCUUUUUGAUUCAGCUGAAUCCUUCUUGUUGUCUAGUGGAUCUUCGAGAACAAAACAAUGUCUUGUGGCAAGCAGCAAUCCAGAAUUGCUUUUCAGAGAGUUUAUGGAAGCCCGGGCUGAAGCAGUAGCAACGUCAGAUCCCGCCAAAACAUAUAUAUACAUAUAUAUAUAUAUACCUGAGUUUCAAAACUAAAAUCAAGAAGAAUAUUUGCAGCUUUGAUAUCUCUAUGGAUGAUUCGAGGAUGACCUACCAUCGAGAUAAAUAUAUACAAUGUUUAGUUUCUUAAAGAGAGCGAGGUAGAAACUAUAUCAUUCUCUUACAGUCUUCAUGCAAAUAUGCAAGGCCUCUAGCUGAUCCCAAUGCAAUCUUCACUCGUACAUGCCAAUCCAAUACUGGACGACCUUUUCCUGAAGUUUCAAUCAUGUUAUUGAUAAAAGAGACAUCAUACAUAAAAAGUGAUGAUUCAAGCAAAAUAUUAUGUAAGAAUAAUGUUACCAUGAAGAUGGAAUUCAAGAGUGUUAUUAGGUAAAAACUCGUAAACCAAUAGCCUUUGACCACCAGAGAUGCAAUAUCCAACUAGAGAUACAAGAUGACGAUGAUGGACACGGCUAAUGAUCUCAACCUCUGCUUGAAACUCGCGUUCUCCUUGUCCACUUCCAAGUUUAAGACUCUUCACUGCAACUUCUUUGCCACUGGGCAAAACUCCUUUAUGAACAUACCCAAAUCCUCCUUGUCCUAGCAGAUUAGACUGAGAGAAACCUUCUGUUGCAAUGGACAGUUCAUCGUAGGUGAAAGUGCUUUGGUUGUGACCAAGAGUCGCAGCUGGAGGCGACGGUGCGGUUGGACCGGCUAAGUUAGAGCUGUCGCUAUGAUCCAUGUUCACUACAUGGUCUUGAGGUGUUCCAUUGUUGUAAUAGCCACCAUUACCUACAUAUGCAACAACAACUCCAUUAGCUUCUUAAGUAUAAUCCUUUUGCACAUACCAAGUUCGAGAUGAAACUAUGUGUGAAUAUAAGCUCACAUUUCGAGAGUUUCAAUGGGACAUAAAAAAAUAUAUACAACGGAGUUUUAAGUUGGAAGCCCAUGAAACUUAACAAACGAGAAUAAACCACUAGACUAUAAAGGCUUAAACAUUUGAUUACCAUUGGGAGCUCCAAAGGGAGUGUUGUUGUUGUAGUAAUGCAUGUGGUUGACUUGAGGAGCACGUUUCUCCUUCUUCUUCUUGUAGCAACAGAUGCAAAUAAACAUUAGAAGCAGAAGCAGUAACCCUGCUCCUACAAUGACUCCAAUAAUCAGUCCAAGGUUGGCUUGGUGCGGUUGUUCCCCUGGUGGUGAUGACGUGUCUGAAUCUCCACUAUUCCGGGGAGGGCUUAUAGACCGAGGCGGUGAAGGUGAGCCACCGUCACUGGACCUUCUGUUUCCAGACGGUGGAGACGGUGUGGAACCUUCUCUGUUGUUACUGUUGAUUCUGUUACGGUCAUCAUUUUCAGAAGUUCCAGACGGUGUGGAACCUUCUCUGUUGUUACUGUUGAUUCUGUU